rnacentral:rRNA from 1 species
GACGAACCGAGCGAACGUUAUUCGGAAUCACUGGGCUUAAAAGGGCGCGUAGGCGGGCGGCCGAGUCCGGGGUGAAAGCCCCCAGCUCAACUGGGGAAGUGCCUCGGAUACUGGUCGCCUCGAGGGAGAUAGGGGCGUGCGGAACUUCCGGUGGAGCGGUGAAAUGCGUAGAUAUCGGAAGGAACGACCGGUGGCGAAAGCGGCGCGCUGGAUCUCUUCUGACGCUGAGGCGCGGAAAGCCAGGGGAGCGAACGGGG